AGGGGAGCAGACUGAGCAUGCUCAGUCGGCUCCCCUCUCCCUCCUGAAGGAGAGAGAGAGAGGGGAGCAGAGUGAGCAUGCUCAGUCUGCUCCCCU